GAAUCUAUAUAUUGAUCAGGAUCAAUACAGAUCAUCCACACUCUGUAUGGAUGUUCAGUCCAGCAGAAGUUGUUGAGCUUUUCAGAUAUUUCAGUUGCAGAUUCAUCCUUUGCUCCACAUGAUCAAACGUUCACUAAAGUAACACUGUUAUAGUAUUAGAGCCUUUUUGUCUUAUUUAAAAAAGGAAUAAAAUGAUGUUUAUAGUCUUGUAUUUGUGAUAAUGUAUGAAAUCAUCUCCAGUAGCUCAUGAACUGCAGAAAGUCCCAGUUGUAGAAGAUUUGGUUGUUUUGAAAUGUUAUUUGAAGACACUGCAGGUGCAGCUUCUGUCCACUAGACGGCGACAUUCCGCAACCUGCUGGGGACAGUUGAUGAUUUUAUUGUCUAAAUUUAGUUUUAUUGAUAUAAUUCAAGGUAAAUUAUUAUGUUUGUGAGAAGCGCUUUAUGAAUAAGCUGUAUGUAUUUAUAUUUAUGUAAAAGUGACACAUUUAGGCAAAAGGUUUUAUAAAUUUCUGUUGUCUUUGCACCAAAAAAGGUUAAAAUGACCAAAGUCCCCAGAAAAUGAUGCGAAUGGACCCAAAAGCAGAAAAGUGCAGCACAAUCAUCAUAGUAAAAAUGACAAGAAGAGACCGAAAGUGAAUGAAUCAUCCGGAGGAGGUGAUCAGCGCUGAUUGCGCUGAUUGGAGUCACCUGUGGGGAACCGGAUAAAAAGGAACGGGAUGAGCCAGAGGCGUUUAGUUGAGCUCUGGAUCAGGUUCGGUUCGGUGGGUCUCCAGGUUGUGCUCCAGAGUUUUUCAGCGUCGUGUCCAUCUGUGAGUCCACGGGUGGGUUUCAUCUGCAGCCGAGCGGCUCCUUAAAACUUCAUCUGGCGUUUGGAGCAGCGAUAGUAAAGGCUGUUUUCAGAGCAGCUUCUUUGUUGGCUUCCAGUCCGCCGCAGACAGCAGGUGAAACUGAUUGUGACCGAUUCCUGAUUCAUGGUCAAACACAGCCUCCUGGUUCGGUUCUGUGAGGUCCACCAUGUCGACAGCAGCUGAUUUAGAUUGUGGUUUUAUUCCUGGAGGAAUGAACGGCUGCUGCCAGAGCCUGGAGGUGAACUUUGACCUGAAGCUGCCCUGGUUCAUUGUCGUCCUCAAUACAAGUGUGGAGCCUUGUUUCCAUGGUUACAGGC